rnacentral:misc_RNA from 1 species
AACGCAUCUUGCGCCUCUUGGUACUCCGAGAGGCAUGCCUGUUUGAGUGUCGUGAAACUUCUCAAAGUCAAUUUUGUCUUCGGACUUGGUUGAAUUUUGGAUUAUGAGUGUUGCAGAAUAGUGCAAGUAUGCGUAUGUAUGCUUGAGUCUUUUGCUUACUCGAAAUGCAGUAGCUUUGGCCGGUGUUUGCAACUCUGGAGACCCUUGUCAUUUCAGCGUGAUACUAUCUUCGCUGAAAUAUGCAAGGGUCCAAUCUCCGCAGUUUGAAACAAUGUAGCCUGCUUCUAAAACUAGGGUUAGAUUUCGAUCAUGUCCCAUUUCGCGCUUUGACCUCAAAUCAGGUAGGAUUACCCGCUGAACUUAA